AUUGAACGCUGGCGGCAGGCCUAACACAUGCAAGUCGAGCGGAGCGGCGGACGGGUGAGCAAUGCCUAGGUAUCUGCCAGGUAGUGGGGGAGAACGUCCGGAAACGGGCGCUAAAACCGUAUACUAUUACACGAGUCUCGGUCGGCGUGGCUAGUUGGUGGGGUAAAGGUCUACCAAGGCGACGAUCCGUAACUGGUCUGAGAGGAUGAUCAGUCACACUGGAACUGAGACACGGUCCAGACGCCUACGGGAGGCAGCAGUGGGGAAUAUUGGACAAUGGGCGAAAGCCUGAUCCAGCCAUGCCGCGUGUGUGAAGAAGGUCUUCGGGUUGUAAAGCACUUUAAGUUGGGAGGCGUUACCAGCAGAAUAAGCACCGGCUAACUUCGUGCCAGCAGCCGCGGUAAUUC
rnacentral:rRNA from 1 species